UUAGGAAUAUUCGUCAAUGGGGGAAACCCUGAACGAGCAAUGCCGCGUGAAUGAUGACGGUCCUCUGGAUUGUAAAAUUCUGUUGUUGAGGAAGAACGUUUGGUAUAGGAAAUGAUAUCAAAGUGACGGUACUCUUCAAGAAAGCUCCGGCUAACUACGUGCCAGCAGCCGCGGUAAUACGUAGGGAGCAAGCGUUAUCCGAAUUUAUUGGGUGUAAAGCGUGUGUAGGCGGUUUAUUAAGUCCAAGGUUUAAUUCCGAAGCUUAACUUCGGUUCGCCUUGGAAACUGGUUUACUUGAGUAUGGUAGAGGCAAGUGGAAUUUCUAGUGUAGCGGUAAAAUGCUUAGAUAUUAGAAGGAACACCAGUGGCGAAGGCGACUUGCUGGGCCAUCACUGACGCUGAGGCACGAAAGCGUGGGGAGCAAAUAGG
rnacentral:rRNA from 1 species